GUGCAGUUCCCAGGCCAAUGGAGUUAUGUUCCCAGGGGGAUUAUGGCUGCCUCUGUUGAGUCACACAGGUCACCAGGGAAGUGGGGGAAAGCUGGCAGUCACAGGCCUCACCCCUCUCCCACACAGCCCUCAGUCCUAAAGGCUGGUCUCACUCCCAUCCUGCCACGCAACAGCACAGGGUCUAUUUCGAGACAGCCAGUGACCAGGGCUGAGAACUUGCCCCAGACCACCAGCCUCCUCACUGAGAAAGCAAGCAGAAUCACAGUUUUUUGGAAUCUCAGGGAGCCUUCAGCGGCAAUCCAGUUCCUUCAAAGGGUCUGUGGAUUCUCUCAGUUUUCAUGAAACCAGCCAAGGCAAUGUGAAGGAUUCCAAGAGAGGCAAUAUGGAUGAAACCAUUUAUUAGAUUUAUAAGAGCUGAAGGAAAGUGGUAAAGCUAUCCAUCUUCUAUACUUUAUUGAGAACAGGACCAAUGACUCAGACUAUCAGGACAGUAUCUCCAAGACAGAAUUGAAAUCCUAAAGUAAGCAGAGAAUAAGUGCAUACAUUUUAGGAGAAGAGGGAUCAAAGGCAGAAGGAAGAAAUGCACGGGUGUCAGCUGUGACCCUCGAAGGAAAGGGAUCACCCUCUUUCUGACCCUAUACCACCUUCAGCAGGGAUGAAGGCAGUCAGAGAAAACUUAGUUAAAAAAUUUCUAAACUGCUUUGCUGAUUUGAUCUGGGGCCCUGGAGUGCCAACAUCCUGUGAUAGCGGCUGAUUGUUGAUGCCUGGGAGGAUACAGCAGUGACGAUCCAAAUUUACAAGACUCAACAUGGUUUUCAAAACUUCCUUUUAAAAAAGAUGUUCCUGAGUUCUGGAAUCUGAACAAAAUAUGUCUGGUUAUUAUAUAAUUCUAAUGGUCCUUGUGGAUGCUACCAUUAGAGUUCAGUUAGUGUCUCAUCUAUCACUGUAAUAUUUGUAUUGUAACACUAAUCGUGGCAAAGUAUGAUUUGAUAAAUGCUCAUUCUCAAAUCUUUUAUUUUAGUGUGUUCAUGUAAGAUUAAUGACCAUGAUGACUUGAGAUAGAAUUUUUUGAUUUGUUGCUUUCUUUGUGUCUUCCAAUAUCACACAGAUUUGCAAAGAUAUCUAUGGCACAAGGGGAGAAAAUAAUAACUUAACUAGAGGAUAGGAGUAAGGCCUUCUAUUAACAAGACACUGUUGACAUUUCUAGGUAGAUUUCAGAAUUCUCCAGGCAUGCCUGGUAGAAAUUUUAGAAAUAAAAGCCAGGAAAGAA
rnacentral:lncRNA from 1 species